rnacentral:rRNA from 1 species
GACAGAGGGUGCAAACGUUGUUCGGAAUUACUGGGCGUAAAGCGCGUGUAGGCGGCAUGGCAAGUCGGGUGUGAAAGCCCUGGGCUCAACCUAGGAAGUGCACUCGAAACUGCCACGCUGGAGUCUUGGAGAGGAAGGCGGAAUUCUCGGUGUAGAGGUGAAAUUCGUAGAUAUCGGGAGGAACACCGAUGGCGAAGGCAAUCCCCUGGGCCUGCACUGACGCUCAUGCACGAAAGCGUGGGGAGCAAACAGG